rnacentral:misc_RNA from 1 species
GAUGAAGAACGUAGCGAAAUGCGAUAAGUAAUGUGAAUUGCAGAAUUCAGUGAAUCAUCGAAUCUUUGAACGCACCUUGCGCCCUUUGGCUAUUCUGAAGGGCAUGCCUGUUUGAGUAUCGUGAACACCUCAACUCUCAUGGUCUGCCAUGAUGAGCUUGGACUUUGGGGGUCUUGCUGGCCUACUGUCAGCUCCUCUCAAAUGAAUCAGCUUACCAGUGUUUGGUGGCACCACAGGUGUGAUAACUAUCUACGCUUGUGGUUUUCUGCCAGGUAACCUCCAGUGAUGGAGGUUCGCUGGAGCUCACAAAUGUCUCUCCUCAGCGAGGACAGCUUUUUGAACGUUUGAUCUCAGAUCAGGUAGGACUACCCGCUGAACUUAAGCAUAUCAAUAAGCGGAGGA